GGCCUCGUAUCUCAGUUGGCUAGAGCGUUGGCUGUACUAAAGCCUUCCCCUUACUAGCGUGGGUUCAAAUCCCACGGAGGCCG
rnacentral:tRNA from 1 species